CUCCCGCCGGCGACCGGCGCACGGGUGAGUAACACAUAUGAAACCUGCCCGUAGCAGGGGGAUAAGCGGAAGAAAUUCCGUCUAAUACCGCGUAACAACCCGAGGAGGCAUCUCCUCGGGUUUAAAGGAAGCGAUUCCGGCUACGGAUGGUCAUGCGUCGCAUUAGCUAGUUGGCGGGGUAACGGCCCACCAAGGCGACGAUGCGUAGGGGUUCUGAGAGGAAGGUCCCCCACACUGGUACUGAGACACGGACCAGACUCCUACGGGAGGCAGCAG
rnacentral:rRNA from 1 species